GUUCAAUAUUCAAGUUAGGGUUAGUCUACAUUUAGGAUGCCCAUUGGAUUAUCGCCAAGUUGUUUCAUUUAUCGCAAAUUGUUUUAUUUAUGGUAACCUGAAUAGUUGAAUGUUAUGGAAACCCUAUUAUGACGUGUAUGGUGCGUGACUGUGCUGAAUUUGACUCAUGGGAAAAUAUUUACAAGGGCGUUGCGUAUUUUGUGCUUUUUCUGGGUGUUUCGUGGCAUAGAACGAGAGAGCAGAAGGUUUUUUUCGAAGUGGUUGAAGUUAGCAGAAAACAAACUUUAUGGAUGUAAUUCAGUGGAAUAUUUUACCUGGAACAAAGGUCAUCAUCAUAUCAAGUCGUCUGUUUGAUAAUGGCUUCGUUCACUUCUCAGUGAAUCACGCAGUGACAUUAAAGGAUCCGGGAACCAGAUUUAAGGAAUUAUGUGUGCCACAAGACACAGAAAUUUCGAAAUACGGUAGACAGCCUGCGGUAUUCGUAACGGAACUUAAACCUAGCGUAGCGCCAAACAUCGCAAGCGGCGAAGUUAUUGGAAACCAGAACUAAGACUAGAACACUCGUAGUUGUAUGCUGUGAUGAUGUGUUUUGUAU
rnacentral:misc_RNA from 1 species